GUGGGGAAUCUUGCGCAAUGGGCGAAAGCCUGACGCAGCCAUGCCGCGUGGAUGAUGAAGGUCUUAGGAUUGUAAAAUCCUUUCACCGGUGAAGAUAAUGACUGUAGCCGGAGAAGAAGCCCCGGCUAACUUCGUGCCAGCAGCCGCGGUACUACGAAGGGGGCUAGCGUUGCUCGGAUUUACUGGGCGUAAAGGGCGCGUAGGCGGACAUUUAAGUCAGGGGUGAAAUCCCGGGGCUCAACCUCGGAACUGCCUUUGAUACUGGUGGUCUUGAGUAUGAGAGAGGUGUGUGGAACUCCGAGUGUAGAGGUGAAAUUCGUAGAUAUUCGGAAGAACACCAGUGGCGAAGGCGACACACUGGCUCAUUACUGACGCUGAGGCGCGAAAGCGUGGGGAGCAAACAGGAUUAGAUACCCGUGUAGUCC
rnacentral:rRNA from 1 species